UACGUAGGGGGCAAGCGUUGUCCGGAUUUAUUGGGCGUAAAGAGCUCGUAGGCGGCUCGGUAAGUCGGGUGUGAAACCUCCAGGCUCAACCUGGAGACGCCACCCGAUACUGCCGUGGCUAGAGUCCGGUAGAGGAGCGUAGAAUUCCUGGUGUAGCGGUGAAAUGCGCAGAUAUCGGGAGGAACACCUAUGGCGAAGGCAGCUCGCUGGGACGUUACUGACGCUGAGACGCGAAAGCGUGGGGAGCAAACAGG
rnacentral:rRNA from 1 species